rnacentral:rRNA from 1 species
GAUGAACGCUGGCGGCGUGCUUAACACAUGCGAGUCGAACGGGAUCGGCUGGAGCUUGCUCCGGCCGUGAGAGUGGCGAACGGGUGAGUAAUGCGUGACCGACCUGCCCCAUACACCGGAAUAGCUCCUGGAAACGGGUGGUAAUGCCGGAUGCUCCGACAUGACGCAUGUCGUGUUGGGAAAGAUUCAUCGGUAUGGGAUGGGGUCGCGUCCUAUCAGGUAGUCGGCGGGGUAACGGCCCACCGAGCCUACGACGGGUAGCCGGCCUGAGAGGGCGACCGGCCACAUUGGGACUGAGAUACGGCCCAGACUCCUACGGGAGGCAGCAGUGGGGAAUAUUGCACAAUGGGCGCAAGCCUGAUGCAGCGACGCCGCGUGCGGGAUGACGGCCUUCGGGUUGUAAACCGCUUUUGACUGGGAGCAAGCCCUUCGGGGUGAGUGUACCUUUCGAAU